GAGCAAACAUCAAUUGUUGGCUGGCCCUCGCUUCAUACUCGUCGCCAAACCCACUGGCUCCAUGUCAUCUACAAGACCCUGCUAGCACCAUGAGCUGUCCAUUUCCGAUUGAUUGUGCCGUGGCUGCUGCUUCAAGUUUCAGCACCACAAUGUAGAUGAACCUCCUUCUUAUUAGCUCUUCCACUCCCAAAGACCCAGCUGAGCCAGCCUCCACUGUUAUUGUGAACAGCAGGGGUCUCGGGCUCAGCCACCGGCCGGGUGCCAGUCUGGAACUGAGGGACACUGGCUGUGAGGAGAAUCUCCUCCCUCUCUGCAGGGACACCAGCCUUUGGGACGAUCCACUCCCUGUGCGCAGGGACGCUGGCCUUUGGGAAGAUUCCCUUUCUCUGCGCAGUGACACUGGUCAUCAGGAGGAUCAACUUCCUUUGUGCAGGGGGAUGAGGCCUGAUGCUCUGAGGAUCUCCUCCCUCUGCGCAGUGAUGCUAGCUGCUCGGAGAAUUCCCUCCCUCGGUGCAGGGACACUGGCUGUUUGGAGGAUCCCCUUCCUCUGUGCAGGGAUGAGGCCUGAUGCUCGGAGGAUCUCCUCCCUCUCAGCAGGGACACUAGCCCUUGGGACAAUCCCCUCCCUGUGCACAGGGACGCUGGCCAUUGGGACGAUUUCCUCCCUCUGCGCAGUGACACUGGCUGUUUGGAGGAUCCCCUCCCUCCGUGCAGGGAUGAGGCCUGAUGAUCGUAGGAUCUCCUCCCUCUGUGCAUUGAUGCUGGCGGCUGAGAGAAUCCCCUCCCUCUGUGAAGGGACACUGGCUGUUUGUAGGAUACCCUUCCUCUGUGACGGGAUGAGGCCUGAUGCUCGGACGAUCUCCUCCCUCUGCACAGCAACUUCGGCUGGUGUGAUGAUCUGAAGCACCAUGAGCUGUCCAUUUCCGAUUGAUUGUGCCGUGGCUGCUGCUUCAAGUUUCAGCACCACAAUGUAGAUGAACCUCCUUCUUAUUAGCUCUUCCACUCCCAAAGACCCAGCUGAGCCAGCCUCCACUGUUAUUGUGAACAGCAGGGGUCUCGGGCUCAGCCACCGGCCGGGUGCCAGUCUGGAACUGAGGUUUGGCAUCGGAAUGUUCCGGCUUGGUGAUGGACAUCAUAGCAGGAUGCUCAACAUAUCUAAGUCGGACAUCUGUAAUAAGUGGGAGAAGUCAGGCCACUCUGCUCAUGUCACCAUACAGAACAAUUACUAGCUGACAGAUAGGAACGUCUCGCUCUGAUACUCUGUUACAACCCAAUCUUAACCUACACGCAGUCACAGGGAUUACUGGGAGGUUACUCAAGGACUCUGCGAUCGCAUUGUUUUGGUUGCAAAAUCAACAAUUCCCUGCAUAUUAUGUGAGGGCUUACAAAUUUGACCAAUCACCGCACAUUUACUGCAUAAUGGUUUAAUCAAGCCACACCUCAACACAGUUUUUUCCUUUGUCAGUGCAUUUUUGCAACAAAUGGACAAAACAAUUGCAUAUUGCUAUGCAAAAUGUCAUAA